GCAUAUCAAUAAGCGGAGGAAAAGAAACCAACAGGGAUUGCCCUAGUAACGGCGAGUGAAGCGGCAACAGCUCAAAUUUGAAAUCUGGCCUCACGGUCCGAAUUGUAAUUUGUAGAGGAUGUUUCUGGCGACGUGUCUUCCGAGUUCCCUGGAACGGGACGCCAUAGAGGGUGAGAGCCCCGUCCGGUCGUACACCUAGCCUCUGUGAAACUCCUUCGACGAGUCGAGUAGUUUGGGAAUGCUGCUCUAAAUGGGAGGUAUACGUCUUCUAAAGCUAAAUACCGGCCAGAGACCGAUAGCGCACAAGUAGAGUGAUCGAAAGAUGAAAAGCACUUUGAAAAGAGGGUUAAAUAGUACGUGAAAUUGCUGAAAGGGAAGCGCUUAUGACCAGACUUGGGCUCGGUGAAUCAUCCGGCGUUCUCGCCGGUGCACUUUGCCGUCCCAGGCCAGCAUCAGUUCGCGCCGGGGGAUAAAGGUUUCGGGAAUGUAGCUCCCUCGGGAGUGUUAUAGCCCGUUGCGUAAUACCCUGGCGUGGACUGAGGUCCGCGCUCUGCAAGGAUGCUGGCGUAAUGGUCAUCAGUGACCCGUCUUGAAACACGGACC
rnacentral:rRNA from 4 species